rnacentral:rRNA from 1 species
GGACAGAAAGACCCUAUGAAGCUUUACUGUAGUUUGGAAUUGGGUUCGGGCCCUUCUUGCGCAGCCUAGGUGGGAGGCUAUGAAGAUAAACUUUUGGGUUUAUUGGAGCCAACAGUGAGAGACCACUCUAGAGGAGCUAGAAUUCUAAUGGCGUUCCUUGAAGCAGGACGCUUGACAGUUUCAGAUGGGCAGUUUGACUGGGGCGGUCACCUCCUAAAAGGUAACGGAGGUGUGCAAAGGUUCCCUCAGGCUGGACGGAAAUCAGCCGUAGAGUGUAAAGGCAGAAGGGAGCUUGACUGCAAGACCUACAAGUCGAGCAGGGGCGAAAGCCGGCCUUAGUGAUCCGACGGUUCCGAGUGGAAGGGCCGUCGCUAAACGGAUAAAAGUUACUCUAGGGAUAACAGGCUGA